rnacentral:ncRNA from 1 species
AAACAAGUAUUGAUAAGGACAACAUUUUAUUAGCGUCUGAUUCACAGAGAAGGAGGCAUUGCUGAGAACCUCCUAAUUAGCCAGUAAAGUGACCCCCUUUGAACUUUUCAUUCGAAAUUGGGUAUUCCCAGUAGUAGUUUGAGACGGAUCACACCGUUAACUGUGACAAGAGUAGAAUUUUUCGGAAUUCUUGAAUCUUGGGUGGAACCACGUGUUGAAAGACUCGUCCCUUGC